GCCGCGCUUCAGCACCCGCAGAGCCGGACAGCGCCUGCUGCAUGGAGCUGCCCGCCGCGGCCGCGGACGCUGUCGGGAGUCCAGCCGCCGCCGCCCUCAUCUCUUUCCCCGGGGGCCCCGGGGAGCUGGAACUGGCGUUAGAGGAGGAGCUGGCGCUGCUGGCGGCCGGGGAACGGCCGUCCGACCCCGGGGAGCAUCCUCAGGCCGAGCCCGGGCCUUCGGCCGAGGGGCCGAACUGCAGCCGCCACCCGCUCAGGAUCCCGAGCUGCUGUCGGUGAUCCGGCAGAAGGAGAAGGAUCUGGUGCUGGCGGCCCGACUGGGCAAGGCGUUGCUCGAGAGGAACCAAGACAUGAGCCGGCAGUACGAGCAGAUGCACAAGGAGCUGACAGAUAAGCUGGAGCACUUAGAACAAGAGAAACAUGAACUAAGAAGACGAUUUGAGAACCGAGAAGGGGAGUGGGAAGGGCGCGUGUCCGAGCUGGAGAGUGACGUGAAACAGCUUCAGGAUGAGCUGGAGAGGCAGCAGGUUCAUUUACGGGAAGCAGAUCGAGAAAAGACACGGGCCGUCCAGGAAUUAUCAGAACAGAACCAAAGGUUAUUGGAUCAGCUCAGCAGGGCUUCAGAAGUUGAGAGACAACUCUCCAUGCAAGUCCACGCCCUCAGAGAAGACUUCCGUGCGAAAAACUCGUCAACCAACCAGCACAUCGUCCGCCUCGAAAGCCUUCAGGCUGAGCAGGUUCUGGAAAUCAAGAUGCUGUCGGAUCGGAAGCGGGAGCUGGAGCACCGUCUCAGCGCCACCUUAGAGGAGAAUGACCUGCUCCAAGGGACCGUGGAGGAGCUACAGGACCGGGUGCUGAUCUUGGAGAGGCAGGGCCAAGACAAAGACCUCCAGCUGCAUCAGAGCCAGCUGGAGCUGCAGGAGGCGCGGCUCUCCUACCGACAGCUGCAGGUGAAGGUGGAGGAGCUCACGGAGGAGAGGAGUCUGCAGAGCUCUGCCGCCACCAGCACAUCCCUCCUGUCUGAGAUCGAGCAGAGCAUGGAAGCCGAGGAGCUGGAGCAGGAGAGAGAGCAGCUGAGACUGCAGCUCUGGGAAGCCUACUGCCAGGUGCGCUAUCUCUGCUCGCACCUUCGAGGAAACGACAGCGCCGACUCGGCCGUCUCCACGGACUCCUCGAUGGACGAGUCUUCAGAAACCUCGUCUGCCAAGGACGUGCCGGCAGGCAGCCUGCGCACUGCCCUCAACGAGCUCAAGAGACUGAUACAGAGCAUCGUGGACGGCCUGGAGCCCACGAGCUCCCGGAGAAUUGACGAUGACUCCUUAGAAGAACAGAUAAGGCAGACCAGUGAGGAUUCAAGAGCUCUGCGCGAGCUCAUGGAGGGAGAGAGGGGUAAACUGAGGCAGAGCCUAGAAGAGCUGCAGCAGCUCCACAGCCAGGUGACAUUGCUGAGUGUGGAGAUGACUGCGCUGAAGGAGGAGAGAGACCGACUCAGAGUGACAUCUGAGGACCAGGAGCCAAAGGAGCAGCUUCAGAAGGCCAUCAGGGACCGGGACGAGGCCAUCGCAAAGAAGAACGCUGUGGAGCUGGAACUCGCCAAGUGCAAGAUGGACAUGAUGUCUCUGAACAGCCAGCUGCUGGAUGCCAUUCAGCAGAAACUGAACCUCUCGCAGCAGCUUGAGGCUUGGCAGUUUGCUUCCUCAGGGCUUUUCACUAUCUGGCUCCUUUGGUUUCUGAUCUAGUGGCCUUUCUCAGUUCCCGUAUCAACAGCUUUAGUUGUACACCCCUCCUGCCUUUGAGGAUGACAUGCACAGGGUCAUUGACCGGCAGCUGAUGGACACGCACCUGAAGGAACAGAGCCGGCCUGCUGCUGCCCUCUCCAGGGCCCACGGCUCGGGGCGUGGGGAUGAGCCCAGCACCGCUGAAGGCAAACGGCUCUUCUCAUUCUUCAGGAAAAUUUAAACUGGGAGGAGUCAGGCCAGCAAAGAUGGGUGCACUGGAGGCGACUGGAAAGGGGAUGCGGGCGGGGGCCCAGCGCACCAGGUUUGCAUGCCAGGCCCAGCGGCUGCGCUGCACCCCUGCACUGGGGCCCAGCCAUCCAGGAGUCCUGCCAAGCCUCUGAAGGCUGCCCUCAACAGGAGCCUUGUCCCCAGAGCCGCACCACACCCAGCGUGGGCUUCCCCAGGAUCCGCUGCUGUUGAGCAGGGCUCAGGCUGCCUCCAGAGCAGCCCCUUGACUGGGCUCUGCUGCUCAGACCCGACGGACCACAGCCCACCCCGCCUACCCCGCAGUUGCUCCGUGCCCAACCCCGGGCACCGCUGCCCUUCUGUUUCAGAAUACAGAAACAGGAGCAAUGGAGGCCCUUCUCUGCAUGCCUCAGGAGGCCCUUACUGCCCCCAGCUGGCCUGAGCUGCGGGGGCCCAGUCCCACAGGGCACCAUGCAGGCCUGAACCCCGUCGUCCCCCAGCCCCUGGCCCAGGGAGGAAGGGGAGGUGGCGGCCCCUCACCCGCGUGCAUGCACCUCCCCGCCAGGAGACCCAGCCCCCGGGGCCUGAUGGCUGGGGCUGCCCUCACGUUUGGCCAUGGUGGGCCCUGCCUGGGCUUGGCUGAGGUCAUCGCCUGAGCCUGGGAGAAAGAAAGGUCUUGCCCCUGGCCACCCCUGCCCUCCCCAGCCCCUCCAGUGCAGGCCUUCUUCCUCGGCAGGGCCUCAGCCCCCUCCCUGUCCUGGGGCCAGGGCUGGGAGGGGCCUCCUCCCCCAAUAGGCCCCUGCUCCCUCACACAAACAAGUUCUUGGUUCAGCGGAGCAAGGCCAGGCCACAGAAUGGCCCCAGAGGGGUCUGCGGUCAGCCAUUCCACCUCGAGGUCACCACUGGUACUAUGGGGUGGAUGCCUCCAGAUGCUGCCCGCCAGGGCCCCAGGAGGACGGCCCGGCGACCUGCUGCUCCUGCCCCUCCCUUGGCAGGCGUUUCACCUUCUCUGCCGAGGCCCCAACGCAGAGGUGCCCAGGCUGCGCCAGCCACAAGCUGCUUCACAAAGGCUCUCCUCCCCCUCCCACGGGCAAAGCACAGCAGGGAUCAGUGGCAAGAAUGUUCCUAUAGAUAUUAUGUACAGACCACAGGGCUGUAAUUUUGUACGUAGCGCUCAUGUAAAUACACGUAUGGAUUUUAUAAUAUACAUAUUAUAUAUGAAUCUAUAAAGGCAUAUUUUUAGAAAAACAGCACACCACUGCUUCUUUUGAAAAUAGUCUAAGAAUAAAAUGAAUUUCUACAGAG